rnacentral:rRNA from 2 species
UCUCUGAUUCAGCGGCGGACGGGUGAGUAAUGCCUAGGAAUCUGCCUGAUAGUGGGGGACAACGUUUCGAAAGGAACGCUAAUACCGCAUACGUCCUACGGGAGAAAGCAGGGGACCUUCGGGCCUUGCGCUAUCAGAUGAGCCUAGGUCGGAUUAGCUAGUUGGUGAGGUAAUGGCUCACCAAGGCGACGAUCCGUAACUGGUCUGAGAGGAUGAUCAGUCACACUGGAACUGAGACACGGUCCAGACUCCUACGGGAGGCAGCAGUGGGGAAUAUUGGACAAUGGGCGAAAGCCUGAUCCAGCCAUGCCGCGUGUGUGAAGAAGGUCUUCGGAUUGUAAAGCACUUUAAGUUGGGAGGAAGGGCAUUAACCUAAUACGUUAGUGUUUUGACGUUACCGACAGAAUAAGCACCGGCUAACUUCGUGCCAG